UACAGAGGUGGCAAGCGUUGUUCGGAAUUACUGGGCGUAAAGCGCGUUUAGGCGGCUCUUCAAGUCAGGCGUGAAAGCCCCGGGCUCAACUCGGGAACUGCGCUUGAUACUGUCGAGCUAGAGUGUGGAAGGGGCGAUUGGAAUUCCGUGUGUAGCGGUGAAAUGCGUAGAUAUACGGAGGAACACCAGAGGCGAAGGCGGAUCGCUGGGCCAACACUGACGCUGAGACGCGAAAGCUAGGGUAGCAAACGGG
rnacentral:rRNA from 1 species